AAGGGUAGAAGAUGCUCGAUUUGGAGUAUAUAGCCACCGUCUUGACGAUAAAUGGCUUGUUGGAGGUGCUUCAAACACAGGGGGAGCAGUUCUUAGGCAACUCUUCACCGAUGAGCAGUUGGAGAAACUAAGUGAACAGAUAAAUCCCUUUGAAACUUCCCCUCUUGAUUAUUAUCCCCUUCAAGCAGUUGGUGAAAGAUUCCCUGUGGCAGAUCCAAAGAUGGAGCCAAGGUUACAUCCACGUCCAGAAAGUGAUGUUGAAUAUUUG
rnacentral:misc_RNA from 1 species